CGCGGCGCCCGUGCGGCUCCGCCCUCUGAGGGGCAGGGCGAGAAGCCAAUGAGAGCACGUGCACCGCCCAAGGCGCUCGGCAGCCUGCAGCGGGCGGGGGAGCACGCUCGGAUGCUGCAGCCUGGACAAGAACUUGCUACUGUGUGUGACUGGAAACUUAACCUGAUGAUGUGUUCCGCACUUGAGAGAUGCAGGCAGCGCCACAGUGUGCUAAUGUACUGAGUUGUAAUGAAGUUACAGUGAUGGAUUUUCCUCGACUAUCACAUUUGAUGUUUCAUCCAAGAAGCAUUUAAAAGAGAGGAAGGAAGACAAUACCCCUCAUAAAUACAGGAGCUAUCAAGACAAGCUGAGCGUACCAAAUACCAUGAUAUAGAAAAGCAGAUGAAUCCUAAUACUCAGAUCAUUGAAAACAGAAACUCUCUCAAGAAUACAUCAUUGCCAUUCUGGAAUAGAAGCCUGUACCCAGAAAGACAGAUGCCAUAUACUGGCCAAACGUGAUCAAGGACAACUGAGACCUGUGAGCAAUUAUGAAGCAAGUGGGGAAAAGCAGGCCAAGCAGCAAAAAAAAAAAAAAAAAAAAAAAAAAAAAAGGGAAUGCUGUGUAUUUCCAUUGUCCAGCAGAGCAAAGUGAUAAUGGACUCUUUGAUCACAAACUACCUUAUUACUGUAGAUUACUAGCUAGACUCUUAGGACUAGCUGAACUGUCGAGCACUAUUGAAGUGACCCUUAUCCUUAUAGACAAAGUAAUGAAGCAUUUCAGCAGGCAUGGCGUCCCACACCGUAUAGUUUCAGACAAUAGACCCCAGCUGAUUUGCAGCAAAUGUAAGGCCCCAUGGGUCUAGAUGAACCCAGGCCUAGUAGAGCUACCAGGCAGCUGGCCUCUCCAGGCUGCCCCCCAGCAGCGGCUGUAACUGACUUGCACAUCACUCCCCAUGACACACUCUAGAUGCAGACCCCUGGAAGUUCUGCCUCAAGAGUUUGACAGACAGCAUCCCAUUGCUCCUGAUUGGCUCCCUGCCCUAUAUAAACUCAAGGGGCAUUCUAGGAUGUCUUCAGGUAAGAGCGUAGCUGCCAUGGCUAUUUCUGCUCCUUGCUCUUGAAUUCCUGGCUUGACUUUGGUUUGAUUUGGUCUUCACUUCCUGACUUGGACUCUGAAACCUGACUUGGACUCUGACCCUUGGUAUGGACUCUAGCCUGGACCUGACUAUGAACUCCUCUGCUACUCCUAGCCUCAGGUUUGCUCCUGCUCUGGCCCUAGGCCCUGGCUUGUUGGGCUCCUGACAGUAAAUUUGUGCAGUUUAUCCAGAAAUGGGAAUUCAGUCCUAUUACAUCAUUGCCAUACCACAGCUAGUCACUGACAAAGCUGAACAGAAAGUUAAAGUUGCUAAGAUUCUGUUAAAGAAAGUGGCAAAAAGCAAAGAGAAUAUAUGGCAAGACAUUCUUGAAUGGAGAAACACUCCCACAGAAGGCAUUAAUAGCAGUCCAGUACAAUAUUUGAUGUCAAGAUGAACAUUUUUUGACCCAAGAACUCUUCAACGCCAACUGGCAAGGGCAUUGCAAGAGUAUCCUGAUUAUGGUAUGUACGUUCUGAUUCACCAAAGAAUGUCAUGUGAGUUCUCAGAUGAAAGCCAGGGUCGUACAAGUUGCUGUUAUUGUUGAGAAAUACUAUGUGAAAAGUCAUGUAUGUAGACUGAAAAUAUGUUUGUAGCUUCUGUAUCACAGCAUGGGCAGAAACAAGUUUCCUGUCAGACACAAGGUGUUUAUUCACCCAUCUCUCUGUCAGCAGGUAAAUGAAACAUUGUAAGCUAAGACAAUGGAUGCACAAUUAUGUACAAAGUCAACAGAGACAUAUGAAGUCAACAGAUAUGAGCACACAGGAAAAACAAGUAACUGGUGGUUGUAGUGUGUCUGAGUACAGACAGUGAACUUUGAGGAAAUAAGCAGAAGGCAAAGAAGGCAUCCCCUUAUCCUGCACCAAGGAAGUAAAUGGGAAGUGUGUUUACAUUCAUGAAAAAUGGGAUCACAACCAGCUGUGGUUGAAAACAUUGUAAAGCAUUGGGUGAGAGAACCUCCUAAUGAAGUUUAAUCUAAUAGUUAAUUUUAAUUACUACAAAGUGUGUUAUGAUUUUGUUUUACAUGUAAGCUUUUGUUUUCAUUACCCUUACUCACCAUCUCUUAAUCUUAAAUUUUCAGUAAUAUACUUAUCCUUGUUUUCACUAUAAAUACAUCUCAGUGCUGUUAUUAAGCAAGAUGAUGAUCCUGAGUUGAAUCAUACCAACUGGUAUGUGCACUGUUGCCUUGGGUACAGCAGAUCUGGUAUUUAUGUGAGUGUUCAGUGGACAGGGGGCUGGUCACUAACGGGAACACUUCAAAGGGGCUUGGAGACUCGGGUGCACCUACUGUUAGCCUGCAAGGCAAAGUAAGGGCUGGCAAAGCCCAGAGGAGAGAGUGCGUGUGUGUAGAGGGGGAAACAGGCUGGUGGUGCCAGGGAGCUGACAUCCAGUUAAGCACAAACAAGUAUCCCUCAUGCGGGAGGCAGGGGCUAACAAGGUAAUUCACAGUCCUGAGUACCCCAAGAACCAUCACUCACACAUCUUCUUGUUACAGCCCCAGCAUUACUACACCCAGGAGUAGUGCAAGGAGUAACAGACAAAAAGGAAGCGGAUACACAAAGCCCAAAGCCUACUACAAUCAAUAAGCUAAAGACUACCCAGAACUACAAAUACGAGAUCCCAUCAGGAUCAAAUUAUUUCCUUAGGACAAAUCAUACUCUUGAAGGUACAUGUGUCAAACAGAUAAACUUUCUUUCAGAUAAUGUGGCAGUGGAUAGGCACAUAUUUCACUGAAACCACAAAUACAUUUACACAGUACAAACACAAGACAAAAACGCAGACGAGGAAGACAGUUAAAUAUGCACUCCACUGAGACUUGCUCAGCAGGACACAGAAGAUGCACAGGAGCACUGACUGAUAGAUAUUGGAACAAACUGUCAAAAUACCACACCACCAAGUUCAUGGCAGUCUUCUAUCAUCACAAGAGAGACUCAUGCUCCAACAUCAAACCACCCUCAAGGCAUAUACAAGACUUUAUAUAAUUCUAGGGUAUGAAAGAACAACCCUUCCAAACACAAAGGAAAAUAGACCAGUGGUUCUCAACCUGUGGUUCAUAGACCUCUGGGGGUCUGCAAACUAUGUCUAAAAGGUCCAUGAAAGACUUAGACAAAACAGGAUAAACAGAAUUCAAUUAUAUCAACAGACAAAAGAUUUUCAAAGGGGUCCGCAUCUCCAUAUGAAAUUUUUUAGGGAUCUGCAAAUGAAAAAAGGUUGAGAACCAGUGCAUUAGACAUCAAACAAAUUGAGUUAGUUAAUUAAAACAAAAAGUUGAUGAUAAACAAUAUAUAAUCAUAUAUAGAGUAUAAUAAAGUAAGUAUAUAAGAAUAUAGUAUUCAUGUUUAAUAUUGCUGUUCCAAAUGUGGCAGAUGGGAGGUAACAAUAAAUAGUUCUGUCUACAGGGAAGCUAUAGUAUGAUUGUGUAUGGGCACUUAGAGAACUUUUGUUUCAGGAAGUGCUUGAUG